rnacentral:lncRNA from 1 species
GCGAGCGCGCGGGCUCAGGCACCGGUCGGGCAGACAAUACUCGAACAACUCCAGCCUUCCCCGCACACGCCCCGGCUGGUCCUGCCACCACUCUCUGCUUUCCCCGGGUUUCUACAGUCCCGCGGGCCCAGGGCAGGGGGCCUCCGGAUGGUUGCCGGGUGUAGAGUGCGAAGAGAGGGGCGACCUGCACGCACCACGGAGAUGGGGGUGGGGGGAGCGCAGUCUUCCAAAGCCGCUCGGGGGCUCAGCUCGUGAGAAGGGGGUGGGGGUGGGGACUGUGAGACCCGAGGGGGAGAAUCCCGAGGGAGGCAGCCGCGCCGCACCUCUUCCCUACCUCGCCCAGCGCGCGCACACAAGCGUGCACACCAAGGGGCCGGGCACCUUCCCGCUGCCCCCGGACCUGCCCGGCCUUCGGCCGCGAGCUCGGUGGCCUGGAAGCCAGGGCAAUCGGCCCGCGGCGGCCCUGGAGGGCGCAGAGCGCCGCGCUCGGGGGUGCCCACCUGCGCGCAGGGUCGCGGAUGCGGCCGGUGCGCCGCUCGCUGUGCCGUGUCCGCCGCAGGAGGAGGUGUGGGCGGCCCGAGCCCUGGACUCCAAGCGUCUCCUCGCUCUCCGGCCGCGCGAUCCUCGCUUCCUUUCCUCCCAGAGGGUCAGGCUGCCUGCAGAUAUAGACCCUUUCCUCCGCUGCCUUAUUGCCAGUUCCAUUAAAUACAGCCUGUGACAAGAAUUUAUUAAUACUGGACUGUAGUCAACAUCCGUGCAAGCGUAUACAAUGGCCCCCACGCAGAAAAAGAUUCCGUUGAGCCAUUAGAGAGCAGUGACUCCGUGAGUGAUAGUCAAAGCCGUUCUACACAAUAACCCUCCUGUCUCUUGUCUCCCUCAUACCAGUCACGAAGGUUUUCCAAGGUAAGUGCAGGUUAAUUUGCUCAUUUGUCUUUAUGUUUUGCGUUUUCUUUAUUAUUCUGUAUCGCAUUACAGGGUUGUGGAAUGAAUCAUCUGAGUUUCUGUUAUUUCUCAUGGGGAAAUUUGCUUUGAUAUGCAAGUGCUUUGGAUUACGAGCAUGUUUCUGGAGCAGAUUAUGCCCACAAACCAAGGUUUUCCUGUAUUUACCUAAUGUCCCAAUAAAAGUCAUGUCAAAAUACA